rnacentral:rRNA from 1 species
CUACGGGUUGCUCCAGUGGGGAAUAUUGGACAAUGGGGGAAACCCUGAUCCAGCCAUGCCGCGUGUGUGAAGAAGGCCUUUUGGUUGUAAAGCACUUUAAGCAGUGAAGAAGACCUAACGGUUAAUACCCGUUAGCGAUGACAUUAGCUGCAGAAUAAGCACCGGCUAACUCUGUGCCAGCAGCCGCGGUAAUACAGAGGGUGCAAGCGUUAAUCGGAAUUACUGGGCGUAAAGCGAGCGUAGGUGGCUUGAUAAGUCAAUGUGAAAUCCCCGGGCUUAACCUGGGAACUGCAUCUGAUACUGUGAAGCUAGAGUAGGUGAGAGGGAAGUAGAAUUCCAGGUGUAGCGGUGAAAUGCGUAGAGAUCUGGAGGAAUACCGAUGGCGAAGGCAGCUUCCUGGCAUCAUACUGACACUGAGGCUCGAAAGCGUGGGUAGCAAACAGGAUUAGAUACCCGCGUAGUC